CCUACGGGUGGCAGCAGUCGAGAAUCAUUCACAAUGGGGGAAACCCUGAUGGUGCGACGCAGCGUGGGGGAAGGAGUAUUUCGGUAUGUAAAGCCCUAUCAGCAGGGAAGAACAAUGACGGUACCUGACUAAGAAGCACCGGCUAAAUACGUGCCAGCAGCCGCGGUAAUACGUAUGGUGCAAGCGUUAUCCGGAUGUACUGGGGGUAAAGGGAGCGCAGGCGGCGCGUUAAGCCUGGUGUGAAAGCCCGCGGCCCAACCGCGGGACUGCAUUGGGAACUGGCGCGCUGGAGUGCCGGAGGGGUAGGCGGAAUUCCUGGUGUAGCGGUGAAAUGCGUAGAUAUUAGGAGGAACCCCAGUGGCGAAGGCGGCCUACUGGACGGUGACUGACGCUGAGGCUCGAAAGCGUGGGGAGCAAACAGGAUUAGAUACCCCAGUAGUC
rnacentral:rRNA from 1 species